rnacentral:rRNA from 1 species
GCCGCAGUUCCCUGUGCUAAGGUAGCAUAAUCAAUAGUCUGUUAAUUACAGAAUAGUAUGAACGGCAAAACGUGUUUUAUUCUAUCACUUUAAUACAAUUAUAACUUAUCAAUAAAGUUAAAACACUUUUAUUACAAAGAAAGACGACAAGACCCUACCUAAACUAAACUUUUGUUUAACUGGGGCGGUUAAUUAAAAACACCUUAACAUACUUUACACACAAACCCUAAAAAUCAUACAAGUUACUAUAGGGAUAACAGCAUAAUUUUUAUUUAAAGAUCUUAUAUAAAUAAAAGCUUAUGACCUCGAUGUUGAAUUAUUUCCCUAUUUUAAGCAAAAAUAAAACAAGGGGGUCUGUUCGACC